AAGUAUAUGCAUAUUUUAUAUGUAGAAACUGCGAACGGCUCAUUAAAACAGUUAUAAUCUACUUGACAUUUUCUAUAUAAGGAUAACUACGGAAAAGCUGUAGCUAAUACUUGCUUUAACACUCUUGAUUUAUUUCUUGAGUGUGUACUUGUUAAGCCUUAUAAGAAAAGAGUUAUUAACUUAAGGAAUUAUAACAAAGAAGUAACACGUAAUGGAUUACUCCAUUUUUAGUGUGUAUCAAUCGAGUUUCUGACCUAUCAGCUUUUGAUGUUAGGGUAUUGGCCUAACAUGGCUAUGACGGGUAACGGGGAAUUAGAGUUCGAUUCCGGAGAGGGAGCCUGAGAAAUAGCUACCACAUCUAAGGAAGGCAGCAGGCGCGUAAAUUACCCAAUUCUAAAGAAGAGAGGUAGUGACAAGAAAUAACAAUACAAGGCCAAUCUGGCUUUGUAAUUGGAAUGAUGGGAAUUUAAAACCUUCCCAAAAUUCAAUUGGAGGGCAAGUCUGGUGCCAGCAGCCGCGGUAAUUCCAGCUCCAAUAGCGUAUAUUAAAAUUGUUGCAGUUAAAACGCUCGUAGUUGAAUUUCAAAGAAUCGAUAUUUUAAGUAACGCUUCUAGCUAUAAAUCCACAUAACUGAUGCCUCCGCGUAUCGACUUUGUGCGCAUUUUAGCUAUUAUGUGUUCUUUUAAUUAAAAUGAUUCUUUUUAAGAUUCAUCUAUUAAAAAUUUGCUUCGGCAUAAUUUUUUUUGAUGAUCUUGUUACUUUGAGUAAAUUAGAGUGUUCAAAGCAAACAGAUAUAGCAUUUGUGCGUUUGAAUACUACAGCAUGGAAUAACAAAAUUGAACAAGUCAGAAUUUUUUUGUUCUUUUUUCUUAUUUUGGCUUAGUUACGAUUAAUAGGAGUAGCUUGGGGGCAUUUGUAUUCAGAUGUCAGAGGUGAAAUUCUUAGAUUUUCUGGAGACAAACAACUGCGAAAGCAUUUGCCUAAAAUACUUCCAUUAAUCAAGAACGAAAGUUAAGGGAGUGAAGACGAUCAGAUACCGUCGUAAUCUUAACCAUAAACUAUGCCGACUAGGCUUUGGAUGAAAGAUUUUAAAAUAAGAGUUUUUCUUUUCUCUCCGGAGAUUAGGACUCUUAGAUUGCUUCCUUCAGUGCCUUAUGAGAAAUCAAAGUCUUUGGGUUCUGGGGCGAGUAUUCGCGCAAGCGAGAAAGUUAAAAGAAUUGACGGAAGGGCACCACCAGGCGUGGAGCUUGCGGCUUAAUUUGACUCAACACGGGAAAACUCACUAGUUUAAGACAAGAGUAGGAUUGACAGAUUAAUAGCUCUUUCUUGAUUUCUUGGAUGGUGAUGCAUGGCCGUUUUUAGUUCGUGAAUAUGAUUUGUCUGGUUAAUUCCGAUAACGAACGAGAUCUUAACCUGCUAAUUAGCGGCAAAUACGAUAUAUUCUUAUGUAGAAUUGAAUAUAGUGGAUUUGUUGGAUUUUGAAGAAAAUAUUGGAAUUACGUUUAAAUGUGAUUCCUUUCCCUUUUCUACUUAAUUUACAUUUCCAUCUAUUUCUUUUUUGCGUAUGAAUGUAUUUGCUUGAUUGUAAAGCUUCUUAGAGGAACGAUGUGUGUCUAACACAAG
rnacentral:rRNA from 1 species